rnacentral:lncRNA from 1 species
GUUGGCUGUACCGGAGUUGAAGCUGGAUGGGUGGGCAGGCACCAGGUCUGGGGGCUCCAGAAAGGUUCUUCUGUUAAGGUUAGACUCUAACCUGAUGGUGACUGGCAGGCUGCUAUGCAGGGGAGUCUCCUGGUCACAAAUGGGAAAAUGGAAAUGUCCCCCGGCUGUUUUGGAGGAGGUCAGACUCAAGGCAGCUAGACCAGUUCUGGGCUAUUGCUGCAAUGAAGGCCUGACCCAGGAGUGGAGCUGGAGGGAGGGGUGGAUUCACUGCGACUUCUGGAAUAGAACCACCAGGACUUACUGGCAAAUCAUAGGUGGGGAGAAUGGGAGGGAGGAGGUAGGCUGACUCCCACGUUCCAGGCGGGGCCCUCAGGGCGAUCCUGGGUGAGGAAACCAGGCAAAGAGCUGCAGGAGGAAGAAAGGAGGUGACACGUUGAGUCCCAGGGACCUGUGGAGGUCCAUAUGGAGAUGAAGAUUAGCCCUGAGCUAACAUCUGCCAAUCCUUCUCUUUUUGCUGAGGAAGACUGGCCCUGAGCUGACAUCCAUGCCCAUCUUCCUCUACUUCAUACGUGGGACACCUGCCACAGCAUGGCUUGCCAAGUAGUGCCACGUUCACACCCGCGAUCUGAACCAGUGAACAAUGGGCUGUUGAAGCAGAAUGUGCAAAUCAACCACUGUGCCACCAGGUCAAUUCAAGCCAUCAUCAAGUCGACUCCGACAGCCUGCCGCCCCAUCUCUCUGCCUCUCCCACUGCUGUCCUUACACGGCAGCCAGGGUCUUGAAAGCAUGAAUGACAUCUCUUCCUUGCUCAAAACCCUCCAAAGGCUUUCCAUUGCAAGUGGAAUAAAACUCAGACCUGUUACUACACCCCACGAGGCUCUAUGUGAUCUUGCCUCUCUCCAUUUUCCCCUCGAGCCAGCCUGCCUUCUAUAUGUCAACACGCUAGGCUUAUAGCAACUCAGGGCCUUGCUUAUCUUGAUCCCGUGCCAGGAACCUCUUCCAAUGACAUCUCCCUUCUCAUCAUUGUCUCUUCCUUAGACAGGACUUUCCUAUCCAAGUCUGGCAGAGACUUCUAGUUGUCCUCCAAUAUCUACUCUUCCCUUUUCCCAAAGAAAUGGAACCUCCUAUUUUUAGCUGAGUCCGUAAUCGGCCAGUCUCCCUUAAACUGGUUAUUGCUACUGGCCAAUGCAAUAUAAGAAGAAACAUAACAUGGCAGUUUCCAGAAACCAUUCUUAAAAGAUUAUUGGCACAUACCUUUGCCUUUUAUUCAUUCUGCUGGCUGGCAUGUGACAUGAUGGCUGGAUCUGGAGCAGCCAUCUUAGACCAUGAGGUAAACUUAGAAAUGGAGGCUGUGCACAGCAGAGCAACAGAAUAGAAGGAGCCUGAAUCACUGAGGAUUUCAUGGAGUGCAAUGACCACAACAGACCUGGGUUACUCGCUUCUGGCCUUCUACUUGAGAGAGAAAUAAACUUUUAUCUUGUUUAAACCACUGUUAUUUUGGAUCCUGUUAUCAACUUAAUUCUAAUUGAUAGACUAACCUGGCUAAGGCAGCCUUCUUUUAUAUUUAUCUGUAUUUUUUUCUUCAAAGUACUUAGCACCUGAAAUUACCCUACAUAUUUACUUAUACUUUUAUUUCUUUUUUUAUUGUCUGUCUUCUCCCUUCUGAAAGGUAAACUCCUUGAGGCCAGGGAUCAUCUGACAUUCACUGCUAUAUCCCUUCCCCCUGGAAUACUGCCAUAAUAGGCGCUUCAUAAAUAUUUGUGGGAUGAAUGGGUGAGUGAACACCUACUACGUGCCAGGGAGGGGAGAUACAAAGAUGAUUAGCAUGCUGUUUCCUGAGUCCCUUGCUUGAGAAGCUCACGGUUUCGUGGGGACUGACUUUCUAGUUUGAAGCGGCCAUCAUCCUCAUUGGAUUCAUCUAGAACAGUGGUUCUCAGCCACGGGCAGUUUUGCCCCCCAAGGGACAUUUGUCAAUCUCUGGAAACAUGUUUGAUUGUUACAAGUUGGAAGAUGCUCCCAGAAUCCAGAGACUGGAGCUCAGGGAUGCUGCUAAACAUGCUACCAUGCAGGGGACAGCCCCCACAACAGAGAAUUACUUGGCCCCAAAGGCCAAUAGUGCUGAGGUUGAGAAACCAUGACCCAGCAAAGGUCAAUGCCAAUUAGAUCUGCCGGGGGCGGGGGGGAACUGUUCGGGCUGCACGUGCCAUGGGGCCUCUGUUGUUGUUAGUGAGUGUGCCGGAUUAAACCCCAAGUAGAGGUCAGCUGAGUUGUCAAAUUCUGCAAAGCUCUCUCAUGGAGAGGCCAACCCCAACCAUGAUCCUUUACUUGUCUCGUGGUCCAUGUUCUGAGGACAAUGUGAACUUGGAACAGGUAAAAUUCUGUCCAGGACUCUAGAAACCAAGCCAGAGAAGCUCUCCAAACAGUAUCAUCAUUGAUAUGAAGAACUCCAACGUGAAUCUUCACUUCACCUGUUUUCCUUGGGAAGGCUGAGAGACCUCACGCCGCACUGCUCUCUGCUGUCAUAAAUCUCUUCUCUAUUUCUGUUUGGGUGAAAGGAGCGUAUCUACUUUCACGGUCCUCCUGCAAAAUGUAAUUUUCUCUUGCAGAUAAACAAAUGAUAGAUGAGGGUAGUCUACCGGACCGGAGAUUAUGGAGGUGAUGGUCCUGGGCCACUUCCUAUUUUAACUAUUAGGGUUUUUUUUGUUUGGUUUGGGUUUUUUUUUAGCUUUCCAGUUUGUUAGACACUGAUGCGCUUGGUGACCUUGGCAGGACACUUCAUCUCCCUGAGCCUCAGUUUCCUCAUCAGCAGACUCAGGGAGCUGGAUCAGGCCAUGGCUUAAUGGUCUUCUACUCUAAAUAACCACAAUGAUUCACUUAUCACCUGCUACCAGCAGAAAAUUGAUGGUGACACAUGCCUGGGUUUGAAGAAAUAAAUUUGAAAAUAAAGGAAAGACUAUGGUGAUUUGUAGCAUCAAUGUUCCCCGCCACACCCCUCCCGAUUUUCAAAAAUAAAACAUCAGCAUUAAUCUUUGGAACAGCAGUUCCUAAGAUAUGUUUCUUAGAACAUAGCUCCUUAAGAUAUUAAAAUGGGACUCUAUGUCAAAAAAGUUGGACAGCAGGGGCUGGCCCCCUGGCCGAGUGGUUAGGUUCGCGCGCUCUGCUGCAAGCGGCCCAGUGUUUCGUUGGUUCGAAUCCUGGGCGUGGACAUGGCACUGCUCAUCAAACCACGCUGAGGCAGCGUCCCACAUGCCACAACUAGAAGGACGCACAACGAAGAAUAUACAACUAUGUACUGGGGGGCUUUGGGGAGAAAAAGGAAAAAAUAAAAUCUUUUAAAAAAAAAAAACAAAGUUGGACAGC